rnacentral:rRNA from 1 species
AUGAUUCGUGGGACGUCCUGCCGGUGGCGGCGAGUCGAAGCCGCGCUCCCGUUGUGGUUUUCCACAAUGGUUCUUGCGCGACGGAGGCGGACCCCGAUGAAAUCCUACCGCGGUGCUCUUCGCCGAGUGUCGAGGUGGGCCGGCACGUUUACUUUGAACAAAUUAGAGUGCUUAAAGCAGGCCUGUUGCGCCUGAAUACUGUGUGCAUGGAAUAAUGGAAUAGGACCUCGGUUCUAUUUUGUUGGUUUUCGGAACCCGAGGUAAUGAUUAAUAGGGACAGUCGGGGGCAUUCGUAUUGCGACGUUAGAGGUGAAAUUCUUGGAUCGUCGCAAGACGGACAGAAGCGAAAGCAUUUGCCAAGUAUGUUUUCAUUAAUCAAGAACGAAAGUUAGAGGUUCGAAAGGCGAUCAGAUACCGCCCUAGUUCUAACCAUAAACGAUGCCAGCUAGCGAUCCGCCGAAGUUCCUCCGAUGACUCGGCGGGCAGCUCCCGGGAAACCAAAGCUUUUGGGUUCCGGGGAAGUAUGGUGAAG